AGACCCCUGCCGUGUUUGUGAUUGGAAGGUGUUCUUUGUCCCAACACCAGAUGAACGGGAACCUUCCCUGGUUUCGGUGUGCAUGUUCUGCUUGUACAGAAAAGCCUAAAGAGAUUAAAAGGUGCCCACCUUAUGUAUUUGGUUCAAAGACCCGCCAACACGGCACGUGGUGGGGGUUCC
rnacentral:other from 1 species